rnacentral:lncRNA from 1 species
UAGCCGCUCUGCUUCAGUUUUAACUUCUCAGAUCUGCCUCUCCGGCGGCCACCACGGCGCUGAGAGAGGGCUCCUUAGUUUGUUUCUUGUUUUUCCUGUUGUAAUAGUAGCGGCAACCUGUGGAUCUCUUGGCUCAAGCGUAACAGUGAUGAUGAGAUUAAAAUCCAGUUUCGGUAUACCUCUUAGAUGGUGAUUCUGACCAUGGUGUUGGUUUUGCUGUUCGAUUUGCUGCUGUCUCAACCGUGAUUCACUGGAGUACCUUUUGUUGGGGUGGUUUAGUUGUCGAAGGUCUGCCGUCUCUGUGGCCUCAUCUUGCGAUUUCGUGGUCAUCCAGGAGCUUGGUGUAAGCUUCUCAGUCUUUUAGUUUUGAUUUCUCUCCGGUUCAUGAUAAGUGUAUUUGAAUUCUGGCCUUCGGUUGGGGAGUCUUGUGGCUUGGUUAGAUUCUAGAACUUGGGUGUUGUGGUUGCGGUUGGAACGGCCAAUUUUGUAGGGCUGUGUGGUUGCAAGUUGGUGCUAGUAAUUCCGGACUUGAUAGGUCCACGGUGCGACUCGAAAAUAAUGUAUCUUCUUGCUCCUUCCCUGAUGUUGUUCCGUUCAAGUUCUUCUCAUCGUUUUGUUGCCGCUUGUGUUAUGUGGUUGUGAUUGCGUUUUAUCCGCCCAACCUUUGUUUCGACUCUCUCCCUUGGUCUACUCUCCCAGCCUUUGAUUCUCAUAUGGGGUCGAUCCUUUUCUAAGCUUAGGUUUCGUUUUGUUUGAAGUUAUGCUAGCCUUCGUUGUUUGCAGUUGGUUCUUCUCGAUGUGGUUGUUCACUGUGGUUGAUAACUUUCUCGUUUUCUCGAGAGGUUCGGCUUCACUCCUUGUUUUGGCUUUGCAGAUCAGUUUUAAGUCUGAUUGCAUUUUAAAGGCUUCUACCUAGACGAUUUUGGACGGUGUAGACGUCAUCGUCGUAUCCGGAAGCGUGUNNN